rnacentral:rRNA from 1 species
GAGCGAAGGCACCUUACGAGGACGAAUCUGACAGUGAGGGAUGAAGGCCAGGGGCGCAAAACGGAUUAGAUACCCGUGUAGUCCUGGCAGUAAACACUGCUCACUAAACAUCGGGCCCUCUUCGGGAGGAUUCGGUGCUGAAGCGAAGGCGAAGAGUGAGCUACCUGGGAAGUAUAGUCGCAAGAUCGAAACUUAAAGGAAUUGGCGGGGAGACAUACAACGAGUGACGCGUGCGGUUCAAUUAGAUUUUACACCGUGAACCUCACCAGGAGCGACAGCAGGAUGAAGGUCAGUCUAAAGGGCUUACCUGACACGCUGAGCGGAGAUGCAUGGCCGACGUCAGCCUGUGCUGUGAAGUGACCUGUUAAAUCAGGUAACAGGCGAGACCCGUGUCGAUAAUUACUACAGAAAUGGGUACCUUAUCGAGACUGCCUUGGUAACAAGGAGGAAGGUGCGGGCUACGUUAGGUGAGUACGUCCCUAAUCCCCUGGGCUACACGCGCGCGGCAAUGGUAUGUUCAAAUGGAUGCGACUCCGAGAGGAGAAGCUAAUCCCCUAACGCAUAUCUCAGUCCAGAUUGAGGGUUGCAACCCACCCUCAUGACGAUGGAAUUCGUAGUAAUCGGAUAUUAGCACUGUCCGGUGAAUAAGUCCCUGUCUCUUGCACACACCGCCCGUCAAACCAACCGAGUUAUGAAGGGGUGAAGCCCUUUUUGGGAAAAACCUUUUCACGACAAGGUAGGUUAAGUCGUCACAAGGUAUCUGUAGGGGAACCUGCAGAUG